UUGGAGGGCAAGUCUGGUGCCAGCAGCCGCGGUAAUUCCAGCUCCAAUAGCGUAUAUUAAAGUUGUUGCAGUUAAAAAGCUYGUAGUUGAAUUUCGGGAUCAAUUUGUUGGUCGUGCCUCGGUACGUWCUGGCAUUAWUGGUUUCUACCUUCUGAAGAACCUUGAUGUCAUUAAUUUGGUGUCWUGGGGAAUCAGGACUGUUACUUUGAAAAAAUUAGAGUGUUUAAAGCAGGCAUACGCUUGAAUACAUUAGCAUGGAAUAAUGAAAUAGGACGUUUGAUUCUAUUUUGUUGGUUUCUAGGAUCGACGUAAUGASUAAUAGGGARGWUUGGGGGCAUUAGUAUUCAAUUGUCAGAGGUGAAAUUCUUGGAUUUAUUGAAGACUAACUACUGCGAAAGCAUUUGCCAAGGAUGUUUUCAUUAAUCAAGAACGAAAGUUAGGGGAUCGAAGACGAUCAGAUACCGUCGUAGUCUUAACCAUAAACUAUGCCGACUAGGGAUCGGAUGAUGUUAUUUUUAAUGACUCAUUCGGCGCCUUACGGGAAAC
rnacentral:rRNA from 1 species